GGGCUGAGCUGGCUGUACCUCCUGACUCUUCUAGGGGGUGUCUGGUGUGAGGAGAAGCUGGUGGAGUCUGGGGGAGACUUGGUGCAGCCUGGGGGUCUCUCAGAAUCUCCUGUGCAGCCUCGGAUUCACCUUCAGCAGCUACUACAUGAGCUGGGUCCGCCAGGCCCCAGGGAAGGGGCUACAGUGGGUUGCAUGGAUUAGGUAUGAUGGUAGCACAAACUACGCGGACGCCGUGAAGGGCCGAUUCACCAUCUCCACAGACAACAGCAAGAACACGCUGUAUCUGCAGAUGAACAGCCUGAAGCCCGAGGACACGGCCUUGUAUUACUGUGCGAGAGACACAGUGAGGGGAUCAGGUGUGAGCCCAGAUACAAACCCUGCAGGGACAGGAGGGGGCUGGGAGGUAAAUGAUACCACUUCAGUCACCAUCACUGUGGUGAUGUUUAUUAACUGUGUUUAUGGGGAAACCAGGCUGAUGUCU